GAACGGGUGAGUAACACGUGGGCAAUCUGCCCUGCACUCUGGGACAAGCCCUGGAAACGGGGUCUAAUACCGGAUACUGACCCUCGCGGGCAUCUGCGAGGUUCGAAAGCUCCGGCGGUGCAGGAUGAGCCCGCGGCCUAUCAGCUUGUUGGUGAGGUAAUGGCUCACCAAGGCGACGACGGGUAGCCGGCCUGAGAGGGCGACCGGCCACACUGGGACUGAGACACGGCCCAGACUCCUACGGGAGGCAGCAGUGGGGAAUAUUGCACAAUGGGCGAAAGCCUGAUGCAGCGACGCCGCGUGAGGGAUGACGGCCUUCGGGUUGUAAACCUCUUUCAGCAGGGAAGAAGCGAAAGUGACGGUACCUGCAGAAGAAGCGCCGGCUAACUACGUGCCAGCAGCCGCGGUAAUACGUAGGGCGCAAGCGUUGUCCGGAAUUAUUGGGCGUAAAGAGCUCGUAGGCGGCUUGUCACGUCGGUUGUGAAAGCCCGGGGCUUAACCCCGGGUCUGCAGUCGAUACGGGCAGGCUAGAGUUCGGUAGGGGAGAUCGGAAUUCCUGGUGUAGCGGUGAAAUGCGCAGAUAUCAGGAGGAACACCGGUGGCGAAGGCGGAUCUCUGGGCCGAUACUGACGCUGAGGAGCGAAAGCGUGGGGAGCGAACAGGAUUAGAUACCCUGGUAGUCCACGCCGUAAACGGUGGGCACUAAGGUGUGGGCAACAUUCCACGUU
rnacentral:rRNA from 1 species